GACGAACGCUGGCGGCGUGCCUAAUACAUGCAAGUCGAACGCAUUUUCUUUCAACGUAGCUUGCUAUACCGAAAGACAGUGAGUUGCGACCGGGGGAGUAACCCGUGGGUAAUCUGCCAAUCAUGGGGGGAUAACACUUGGACACAGUUGCUAAUCCUGCCUAAUUCCAUUUACUGCAAGGUAGUAGGAUGAAAGGAGCUUCUGCGGCACUGUUGGAUGGACCCGCGGUGCAUGGGUCAGUAGGUGGGGUAACGGCCUACCAAGGCUGCGAUGCGUAGCCGACCGGGAAGGGUGAUCGGCCACACUGGGACUUGGACACGGCCCAUGCGCCUGCGGGAGGCACCAGUAUGGAAUCUUCGGCAGUGGACGCAAGUCUGACCCAACAGCGCCGCGUGAGUGGAGGAGGUUUUCGGAUUGUAAAGCUCUGUUUUUAGAGAAAAACAAGGUUGAGAGUGGAAAGUGCAUCCCUGGACGUUAUCGAACCAGAAGGCCACGCCAACUACGGG
rnacentral:rRNA from 1 species